GGGGUAUUUUUUGAGAUUCAGAGUUCAACUUUUGUUUUCUCUCAGAGAUAUUUUACAGCAUACAUGCUUGGUGUGAAAUUUCAACAUGUAACAACACACACCUGAUUCCGAAAACUGACCAAAUUAAUUGCUCUCUUGCAAUUCAUGCUGGGGGUAAUGGCCAUUAAAUUUCCAUGUUAUAGCUGUAAGCAGAUAACUGAUAAAAGUUGCCUGGAGAACCAAGUCGGCCCUUUAAGCCUAAUGGAAUAUCGAAGAAACUGUUAGCGAACAGCAUGGAUCCUGACCAGAUUGUGCGGAUGCGCAGGCUGGUCUGGAUCCAUCCUAAUCGCAAACCCACUUUAUUGGUUUUCCUAUGGCACGACUCAAAAUAUUCACAAAUAUUUUAUUUUAUUAUUUCCAAAUUUCUUUGACGGAAAUCGUUCAUCAUCUUGCAAAACAUAUUUCAUGUUUAAUGGCUAGUGGGUUUUUCCCAAAAAACAUAACUUUCUAAAAAUAAAACUGACUUGUAGCUCUUGUUACAAUAAAACUGUAUACACAAUGAUUCAUGUCUUCCCUUACAGAAGAAAAAGGCCUGCUGCGUACUCUUGCUGUGUACAUACAGCGUAUAUGAUGCGUACAUGAUGUGUACUGAAAUCAAUAGUACGCAGGAUAUACACCGCACAUACACCGAUAGUACGUUUGUAGUACACUUUUGACAUGCAAAUGAGCUCUGCCGCGUACUACUUGCUGCGUACAUGCUGUGGACUACAUAGUACACAGGAUGUACGCUGGAGGAAUUUAGUAUGCGAGAAAUAGUACGCAGCAUGUACGCGGCACAUACACUUUUCACAUGCAAAUGAGCCUGCGGUGUACUACCCCUGCGGCGUACAUGCUGUGUACUCCUGCGGCGUACAUGCUGUGUACUCCUGGCCCGAGUCCUGCGGCGUACAUGCUGUGUACUCCUGCUGCAUACAUGCUGUGUACUCUUGUGGCGAAACUGCUGUGAUAAUGUAAAUUCCUUACCCCACCAACUUUCGUAUGCAAAUGCUGAUCAUUUGGACAGAAAAAAACAGAAAAAAAGAUAAGUGACAUGCAUCAAUAAGUAUUUACCCUUACCAAAAUAAUGUAGAUUGAUGUUAUCAAAUAAAUCAGUAUGCUUUUCUCCAUCCACUUAUCAAUGAAAUAAAUCAAUUUUUGUAGCAUGUAAUUUGGUAAACAUUUGAAGAAAAUGGCGUAACUGCAUCAAGGGGAAACAACUUUAAUGCAACUAAAUAUAAGUGUUAUGAUUUAUUAUUGACGAUGUGUGCGUAGUAUGUAUUUAUUUUGAUUAAAAUCCAUCUGAGAACAAUCUAGGACUGGAAUUAUAUAAGCAUUUAUACACUUUUACGUCCGUAAAAAGUAGCGCACCAAUAAAUUUUGGAUUGAUUUUUUCCAAUGGGGCAAGCGCAAUUAGCCAAAAACGUUCUGAAAAUAUACAAGCGGCAAAUCCGAUGAACAACUUUUUAAUUUGGUGAGGCCUUAAUGAGUUAACAUAAUGAGCAUUAAAGCCUUUAUAAAACAUGAUAGAGUGGUGUUUUGCUUAAGAGUAUUCAAAUAACAGUGAGAGCUAUUAAUUCUUCUCAUUCGGGCGCUGUUGAGGCAUUAUCUUGGUAAUUAUUUCAUGUAUUACAAAAUGUAAUGCAACGAAGUUCAAAUAAGGCUUUUCAAUUAUCCAAGUUAGAAAGCUCCAGGAUUAAUUCAAAAUGAAAAAGAAUAUAUUUUUACACUGCAUGCAAGGUGCAGCUCAGAAAUCACUAAGAUGUAAGCUUCACAAAUGAACAUUGCAAAUAGUUUGGCAAAUUUUUAUUGUUCAGAAUACCGGUAAUCUGAACUAUUCUAUGCUAUUAAGAUAAAAGUUACUCGGAAAUCAAGUUCUUGCUUCCAAAAAAAAAAAAAAAUGUACAAAUCCUUCCUGCAUGAAGUCCCUCCUGCGUAUAUGAAGUUUACUUCAGACUUUAACUUAUAAAAAAAAACUAAGUAUAAAUGCCAAAAGAAAUUGUACAAGUCUUUCCCGCGUAUAUGAAGUGUACUGCACAAAUUUCAAAGUAUCUGCGGUGUACAUGCAGUGUACUAUUUUCUUGUACAAGUCCCUCCUGCGUACAUGCAGUGUACUCCUGAAAUUUUCAGAGUCUGUGCUGCGUACUUGAAGUGUACUAGUGACCUCCUGCGUACAUGCUGUGUACUCGUCGAAAUAGUACACGGCAUGUAUGCGGCAUGCGGUGUAUGUAAAAUGUACUCCUCUGGCGUACUACUGUGUUCGCGGCAUAUACACAGCAAAUACGCAGCAUGUACGCCACAGAGGCUUGCUUCUGUAAGGGUUCAUUUAAAUUUCAUAAGUUUUUAUACAGUUAGACCUAUUGUUACUUUCAAACAUUAAAGCAGCAAUGCCUCCAGAUUUGGCUAAAAAAUAUUCUUUCUUUCAAAUUGAAGCUUGGUCAUAUUAUGAAUACUAUAAUAUGAUUUUUUGUUUCUAAAAUAUUUUAAAAGUUCCAAAUCAAGAAAAAAAAACCGACCGCGUCGGAAAUGGAACCCCGGACCGCCGCGGCAAUAAAUAAAUUUUCCUUUCAUCGUAACCAAUAACGCUAUACCACACAUGAUACACAGUGCUUUCUUACUUGUAGGUGUCAACUGGAUUCUUGAUACCGGUAUUGUCGGUGUUUUAUAUUCCAUUUUAGUUACCUUACUAUCUUAGGCAGUCAAAUUCCAUAAUAAAUGUUUUAGAAACAAUGAUAGGAAAUAUGUAAAUACACUUUCAUGUUGAUCUUGUUAAUAAAAUAUAUGAAUUACCUAUACAUUUUAUUCUCCAUUUUUGCACAUUUCUUAAAGGAAUCACAAUCUAGUUUAAUACUCACAUAAAACUUGUAUCUUGUUAAUGGAGCAGCAGAGUUUAUUUUCUCUCAGCUCAACAUCUGGCUGGAGUUUUAAGCCUCAUUUAUCACCUUGUGGUCAGUGGCAAUGGCAUAACACUGACUUGUUCAUUGGGCAAUAAACCUUUGUACUGUUAGGACACUGAUGAAUCCUCAUCGAGGUUAUGUAAGCCGAAAUCGCAUUUUAUAAGUCUGUUGAGAUAAGCCACAGUAAAAGGGAGCUACAGAAAAUUUGAUAUAUAUUUUUUAUAAAAAAUGAAUAAAUAAAUGAGAAAUGUUUAAUCUCAACAGACUGAGAUAAGCCACAGUAAAAGGGAGCUACAGAAAAUUUGAUAUAUAUUUUUUAUAAAAAAUGAAUAAAUAAAUGAGAAAUGUUUAAUCUCAACAGACUGUGUAAGUCUACUGCAUUGUUUGUUUAAUGGUAUUUUUGUAUAUUAGAGAUAUGGCUUUAUUAUAUAAUCAGUAUUACAUACAGUAUGCAACUUGCAAUUUGUGUAUAACAGCACCACUGCUUUGAUAGAAAAUGUAAUGAAUUAGCGAGGUUGAUAUAUUUGUUAGGCCUAGAAAAUGUAAUGAAUUGGCAAGGUUGAUAUAUUUGUUAGGCCUAAAAAAUAUUGCUUGUUAGCUCACCAGUCACAAAGUGACAAGUUGAGCUUUUGUGAUCGCGCAGCGUCCGUCGUCCGUGCGUGCGUCCGUCCGUCCGUAAACUUUUGCUUGUAACCACUCUAGAGGUCACAUUUUUCAUGGGAUCUUUAUGAAAGUUGGUCAGAAUGUUCAUCUUGAUGAUAUUUAGGUCAACUUCGAAACUGGGUCACGUGCGGUCAAAAACUAGGUCAGUAGGUCUAAAAAUAGAAAAACCUUGUGACCUCCCUAGAGGCCAUAUUUUUCAAUGAAUCUUCAUGAAAAUUGGUCAGAAUGCUCACCUUGAUGAUAUCUAGAUCAAAUUCGAAACUGGGUCACGUGCGGUCUAAAACUAGGUCAGUAGGUCUAAAAAUAGAAAAUCCUUGUGACCUCCCUAGAGGCCAUAUUUUUCAAUGGAUCUUCAUGAAAAUUGGUGAGAAUGUUCACUAAUAGGGUCUUAACACUUGGUUUUGCGCUAACUCUGUGAUUCCAGCAGGUAUGCAAAUUUUGAUUCCAUACCUCAUGUUUUUAUUUCGAUGUAAAUGAGAUGUGAAACUACAAUUUGUAGUCCUGUUUGGCGCCAUAUAACCUAUACUGUGUUGGUGCGCCGUAAAACCCAAAUAAAUAAAUAAAUUUCCCAAAGCCAUAAAAACAUUAGGGUCGUUGCAAAUUUUUAGGGUAGGUCAAGAUACUGGAAAAAAAAAUUAAGGCCUUAUGGAGAAUAUCUUUAUUGUGUAACCAUUGAGAUUCAAUAUGGAAGGAGACUGGAUAGCCAAUGUAUUUGUAUAACUUUCAAUCAUUUGUGACAAGUUGAUGUCAUCACAGACCAAAGGUGCCAGACCAAACAGGAAAUUAUAUUUAGAUUUUAAAAAGCACAAUGUCUUACAUAUUUACAUAUGUUUAUUAUUUUCAUGUAUUGUUUCUGUGUGGAGGGUACAAAUGAAAUUACAAUAACAGCAGCACAUUUUUUAUGAGAUUGUUAUAAAAGCAUGUUGUAUGUUUGUUGUAAAACAUAUACUGCCCACGGAUGCCCAUUGAACAAUUUUGAUUUUUUUGUUUGUUUAAGUGAUUUUGCCUGCACAUUGAUCAUGGUCUGCACUGUUUACUAUACAGUCAGUAAAUUUUAGUGAACAGCCGCCCUUUGAAAAAUAAGUGGUACUGCCCAAGUUGAAUGAUGGACCAGUCCAUUUUGGUAAUAUAGCAGGAUAAAGGUUAAGAAAUGUUUGAUCAUGAACAUUGAUCUGAAUCUGUAGCAAUUUCUGUAAUAUAUAAAAUAUUUCAAUCGAGAUUAAGUUUUCUAAAGUAGAAAAUAUUUGAAAUUGUUUGGUGCCAGCAGGGUAUUACUUGGGGCAUUACUGUUAGAUUUUUCUUUGUUACAAUAUAUUCGUUUUAUCUUUCUUCAGUUUGAUUUAUGACUUCUUUAUACAAGAUUAAAUGUUUCACUAAUGAUACUGUUUUUAUAUGCACAAGAAAACAACAAUUCAGUAUACAAUUGCAUUUCAAUGAGUGUAGCAGUUCUAUCAUGCUCUUUGACAAGAAAGUGUUGUAUCCAUUUAUUUUUUUAGCACACAAGUUUAGAUCAGAACGUCGUGGUAUUUGUUCAUUUGCAGUCUAGUCAUUCUUCAUCAUUUUGAUGUAAAGUCAAUACAAACAUACUGUACAAGUUUUACACUAGAGAUUUGAUGUGUGUGAUUUUUGAAGAAUAUUUGUUUGCAGUUGCUUGCUUUUACUCAGUUUGUACAUUCACUUGUUUCCUAUAAACUUUUAAUAUAUUGUUUUCUAUAAUCUGAAUUUUUUUUUACUUUAUGUUAAGUGUGUGUUUAGAAGUAUUCAAUAAUUUUGAUUCCAUACCUCAUUUUUGUCUCGCCCACUUUUAAUGGAAGUGAUACUAUGCGAUCCAAAUUCCAGAGGUGACGGCGUUUGCGGCGACAAUGGUGCCAACAAUUGGAAAUAACUCAAAAACUGUUUCAUAUAUUUUAAACCUUGUAGGAUGUUUUAGAAACUAAUUUUACACCCUCAUGGUGAGUCCUGGCCCUCUAGUGACCUUUACCUUGAAGAAGUUAUCAUUUUUAGAUUUUUUUACGCUUUUGAAAAUCCAUAAAACUGACAGUUUCUAAAAAACUAUUACAUUAUAUUGCUUUGAAACCUUGUAGAAGAUGGCUCAAAAACUCAUUUUACAUUCCCAUGAUGAGUUCUGAAAUCCCCCCCCCCCCCCCCCCCCCCACCGCCCCAGUAACAUUGACCUUAAAGAAAUUAGCACAUUAUUUUUAACGCCUUUCAAAGUUCUCAAGAAUGAUAAUUUCUCAAAGACCGUUACAUAUAUUGCUUUGAAACAUUGUAGGCUGGUUCAAAAACUCGUUUAACUUCCCCAUGGUGAGUCUUGCUCCCCUAGUGACUUUGAAAAUUCGCAAAAAUGACAAUUUUGAAAAUAAUUGUUACAGAUAUAGCUUUGAAACUUUGGAAGAUGGUUUAAAAACUCAUUUUGCACCUAUUUCAUGAGUCAAAGCUCUUGUGGGCGAGACACUCCAGUAGUGGCCUUGUAUUUCAGUGUAAAUGAGGUUUGAUUUUUUUUAUGUUUGGCAUCAUAUAGCCUGUACUGUGUUUGUACGCCAUAAAAUCUAAAUGAACUGGCCCCGUGUUCACAAAACAUUUUUCAAUCUCAGCUGAGUUUGAGUUUGAAAUUUUAAUAACAGUUUUACUAAAACUUCAAGCUUAAAUUCCAAACGAGACUGACCAUCAGUACCGAAUAAUUAUUUUAAAAUAGUUAUUAACUUAAAAUUUAGUCUUAAACAUGCUAUUUAGAUAUAAAUAAGAAAUUAAGUUUCAUUAUCAAACUCAGCUGAGACUGAAAAUAUCUUGUGAACACGGGGCCAGAGCAAUAAUACUUGCAUACAUCUGCAGUUUUUAUUCUCAGGCCAUAUUGAAUUUCAUGUACUAUGUUGCUUUCAGUACAAUAUUGUUGUUUUAAUUGUACAUAUUCUUUUUGUUUACAAAUAAUAUGAAAGGUUUCUUCCCAUUCAUAUGCAUUUUUUUCUGUAGAUCCUUCUAUAUACCUCUAGUUUGGAAGUAUUUAUCUUUAAAGUGAUGAAGGGAAAUCAGUUGAAAAUAACUUGUUGAGAGAGGAUUGAAGGCUGCAACAGGCUUUUAUCAUUUUUAACUGUUAUGUAUAUCUCCGAGUGUCAGACUAACUUGUUUUGUGUUUGUGUGUAUUUUUUUGUAGUUAUACUUUGUGAGUUAUUAUGGUAUUUUGUUAUGUUAUUAGAUAUUGUUGAUUAUUGUUCUUCUAUAUGGUAUAGGCUAUUAGGUGAAUAUGGUAUAGGUUAUUAGGUGUAUAUGGUAUAGGCUAUUAGGUGUAUAUGGUAUAGGUUAUUAGGUGAACGUAUGUGAUUAUAUGCUAAAUAAGACACGAAGGAACUGUUCCUCUAAAAGCAUUUACAUGGUGAAGUUUUCAGCUUUAAGAACUAAAACUUUAUGGCUUUGCCCUGCUUAAUUUAGAAUUCAUAGCUUUGUUUUAAAAAUGACUUACUCUUUUUACUUGGUUUCAUGUAAGUUUAAAAGUGUAUAUUUUAGACAGAUGUAACAUAGAUCUUUAUUUGAAGCUUUAAAAUAUCAGAUGUUUAUAAGCAUAUCAGUCCAUAUCUCGUUUUGUGUAUGUGUGUAAUUUCAUAUCAUUAACUUGCGAGUACUGAGGAUUGUUGUGGACAAACUGGAAGGCAAUAUUUCGGAGCGAUCAUAUGUUAUUGUCUGGAAGUCAUUAGGUUUAAUAGGACAUAGGUCAAUGUCAUAAUUUCUUUUAUCAGUGCCAGGGGAACCUUGGUUUACAUUCAUCACAGGGCUUAUGAUCAUUACUGUGAUCAGUAAAUGACUUGGUAUGUUAACAGUCAAGGUCACUAUAAGACUGGAGUAUUUUUAAGGGCAGUGGAUAAAAAAGACCGUCAUAUAACAGUAUUUGACAGUCACAGGUUAAGUUACAUAAAGGACAAGGGCAGAAUAAGACCGAUACAGUUUCAGUUUUCGUUUCUAAAAUACCUUUUAAUAGUUGGAUCAAUUUUUUUCCAAUAAAUCACAUUGCUGAUUACACACCAAGUUUACAUUAAGAUAGAGUUUCUUGUUAUGCCCCCGAAGGGAGGCAUAUUAGUUUUCAACUGUCCGUCCGUUCGUUCGUUAGUUAGUUAGUUCGUCACAACGUUAACUUUUUGCAUGAAGGCACUUUACUCGCAAACCACUGCACCCAGGACCUUCAAACUUCACAUGCUGAUAGUACUUAUUGAGUACACCACCCCUACUGACUUUGGGGUCACCAGGUCAAAGGUCAAGGCCACAGGGGCCAACGUUAACUUUUUGCAUGAAGGCACUUUACUCGCGAACCACUGCACCCAGGACCUUCAAACUUCACAUGCUGAUAGUACUUAUUGAGUACACCACCCCUACUGACAUUGGGGUCACCAGGUCAAAGGUCAUGGUGCUGCGGGGGCAUUUGUCACCAUUAGUGACAGCUCUUGUUUUUGUCAAACGUUUUAGACACAAUUCUUAUUCGAUAACUCAAACUCUUGUAAGCCCCAUGUAGUUCUAAGGCAACUUGUGUAUCCACUGUCUUACUUUUGCAUGAUCGGGGGCUAUUGAUAGGGUCUGAUAACUUGGUUUUGCUGUAUCUCUUUGAUUCUAACAGUUAUGAAAGGUUUGUCAUACCUCAUAUUUUAGUUAAAUGUAGUUUGGAUGUGGAACCAAUAUUUAGUUCUGUUUGGCGCCCUCUAAUAUGCCUUAUGUUGGUGCACCAUAAAGCUUUUGAGUAUUAUUUUAAAGACAUUGAAUAAGAUGUUAUAAGUUUUCAAACUUAUUUUAUGAAUGGUGUUACAGGGAUGAUUGAACUUUAUAUAUUUUAUCUAAAUUAUUUGAAUUAAUAUCCAAAGAUAGAAAUCUGUUAUGAAUUUUAUGAUCUUUUUUUCUUUGGUACUGUCUCUUGUUAUAUUUAUAAACAAUGCAAUUUCACGUAGCCAAAUCUGCUUUAUUGCUCACUGUAUUCUGUUGAAUCAUGUUUCACUUAUGUACAACCUGUCUAUUUAUUCAAUGAACGAUCUUUGUUGGCUUGAAAAGAAAUAUUUUGUAAUACACUCCUAUAUUGUA